ensembl:rRNA 5S_rRNA 5S ribosomal RNA
GUCUACGGCCAUACCACCCUGAACGCGCCUGAUCUUGACUGAUCUUGGAAGCUAAGCAGCGUUGAGUCUGGUUAGUACUUGGAUGGGAGAACAAACACACAUUGAAGUAUAUGGGUUUAAACGGCUGUGGAUA